UCCCGAGGGGUGCCGAGCCGGGUUCCCUGUGGGCGCCGGUGGUUGGAGGGCAGGGUGAUGGCUGUGUGUGGCCUGAGCUGCUUUCUGCGCUCCCUGGGCCUCUGACCCGCUGCCAGGCGCCCCGCCGUCACCGAAUCACGGAACCGAAGCUCAUCCAUUGCAACCCCCCUGCCAGAGCAGCACCACCUAGAGUAGGUCACACAGCAACUCAUCCAGAUACCUUGUGACUGGCUUGGGAAGCCCAGAGCAGACAGCGCCUGGACCUGAGAGAGCAUCCAGAGAAAUGCUUUGAAGAGCCAUGAGAGGAUUUUCUUGCUCUCACAGACUUUUACCAGCUGUGUCAGAGACUGGUUGCUGAACAAAAAAGAUUUGGCCAGGUUGGGAAGGCUGUUCUUAGGAUCAAGGCUUCAUUGGUGGGCUCUGGUCCUGCACCCUGUCAAGGCACCAUACAGUUCACUGUACAGCUGAAGAUUUUGUAGAAUGAAGGAAGCAUGAUUACAGAUUGAGCCCACACAGAUCAAUCCCUGGCUACAGCCUGGUGAGUGACUUUGACUCUAAUUGCCACCUGAGUAGUUUUCAAAAGAUGGCAUCAAACAUAACGAACUUCUGAAGGAUCCAUGUCCCCUUCUUUCUCAUGGUGUGGGUAUUCUCUCUCCAAAUUACACUGCUGAAAGGACCUGCAAAGGUCCUACAGACAUUGUGGGUUAAAAAACCCAGAGAAGCUAUGUGCAGUUUUCCUGAUGCCAGAAGAUAGUUGGAAAUAAAGAUACUUUCCAACAUAUAGCUUGCAAAAC